AACGAUGGAAAUAGCGGGUUUACGAGAGGAUACAAAGGUACUUCGAAGGUACAAGUUGUGUCCGUGGUAACCUAACCCAGACCUAUCAUUUAUAUACUGGUUUGUUCGCCCUACUUCCAUUCAAAACUACGAAAGGGUAUUCUUGUAAACUCCUUUUUUGCGAACUCCUCCUGAAGGUAAAGAUUUGCUUGUUUCUCACCCGCUAAAAUGUAUUCUUU
rnacentral:telomerase_RNA from 1 species